GAUGAACGCUGGCGGCGUGCUUAACACAUGCAAGUCGAACGAGAAGUGAAGACGGAAACCUUCGGGCGGAAGGCUUUAUUUCGAGUGGCGGACGGGUGAGUAACGCGUGGGUAACCUGCCUCAUACAGGGGGAUAACAGUUGGAAACGACUGUUAAUACCGCAUAAGACCACAGCACCGCAUGGUGCGGGGGUAAAAACUCCGGUGGUAUGAGAUGGACCCGCGUUCGAUUAGCCAGUUGGCGGGGUAACGGCCCACCAAAGCGACGAUCGAUAGCCGAUCUGAGAGGAUGACCGGCCACAUUGGGACUGAGACACGGCCCAAACUCCUACGGGAGGCAGCAGUGGGGAAUAUUGCACAAUGGGGGAAACCCUGAUGCAGCGACGCCGCGUGAGUGAAGAAGUAUUUCGGUAUGUAAAGCUCUAUCAGCAGGGAAGAAAAUGACGGUACCGGAGUAAGAAGCCCCGGCGAACUACGU
rnacentral:rRNA from 1 species